rnacentral:rRNA from 1 species
GUCUACGGCCAAACCACCUGAAUGCACUGGAUCUGAUCUUGGAAGCUAGGCAGGGUCAGGCCUGGUUAGUACUUGGAUGGGAGAAAGAAAGCACAGACCAGCUGCCAGCAGCCU